AUGCCGGCGCCGCUCGCCGCCUCCUGGCGCCGGCAUGCCUCCGCCGCGGCGUCCUCCUCCACUCCCAGGACCCUCCUCUUGCUCGUCCCGGUUCUCAUCCUCCUCGUCUUCGUCCUCUCCAGAGCCCCAGAUCUCACCUUCGCCCCCGCCACUGCCGCCUCACCCCACCUCCCGGCCCGGCUCCGCCCCUUCGACUGCUACGCCUCGCCGCAGGCCUCCCCGGUCUUGGCCAGCCUCGUGGAGGGCGUGCCCCGCCCCUUCCUCUACUCCCUCGCCGACCUGGGGUCCCUCCCCGACCGCCCGCACCGGAACAUCGCCCGCCUCCUCAAGGGCAAGCGCUUCCGCAAGCCCGACAUCUCCCAGACAAUCCAGGAACUGCUCGCGGGGGAGGUGGGGAGGGGCUCCGGCGGCGGGGUGGUGGUGGACGUCGGGGCCAAUGUUGGGAUGGCGGCCUUCGCGGCGGCAGUGAUGGGGUUCCGGGUGGUGGCAUUCGAGCCGGUAUUCGAGAACCUGCAGCGGAUCUGCGACGGGGUGUACCUGAACCGGGUGCAGGACCAGGUGGUGGUGUAUCAUGCUGCAGCAUCUGACCGGGUUGGGAACAUCACAAUGCAUAAGGUGAUCGGACGACUCGACAACAGUGCUAUAUCUGCAACUGGUGCGAAGUUAGCAUUCAAAUCUAAUGAAGAAGUUGCUGUCGAGGUUGCUACAAUCCCAUUGGAUGAAGUCAUUCCAGAUGCAGAGCGAGUGGUUCUGAUCAAAAUUGACGUUCAAGGUUGGGAAUCUCAUGUUCUGAGAGGUGCAUCAAAGUUGCUCUCGAGGAGGAGAGGUGAAGCUCCCUACCUUAUAUACGAAGAGGACGAGCGCCUGCUGCAGGCGAGCAACAGUAGUGCACAAGAGAUAAGGGCAUUUCUUGGCAGUGUUGGUUACAAUCAGUGUACGCGGCAUGGGACGGAUGCUCACUGUACAAAAGAAUAG
rnacentral:rRNA from 1 species